ACGCUGGCGGCAGGCCUAACACAUGCAAGUCGAGCGGAUGAAAGGAGCUUGCUCCUGGAUUCAGCGGCGGACGGGUGAGUAAUGCCUAGGAAUCUGCCUGGUAGUGGGGGACAACGUUUCGAAAGGAACGCUAAUACCGCAUACGUCCUACGGGAGAAAGCAGGGGACCUUCGGGCCUUGCGCUAUCAGAUGAGCCUAGGUCGGAUUAGCUAGUUGGUGAGGUAAUGGCUCACCAAGGCGACGAUCCGUAACUGGUCUGAGAGGAUGAUCAGUCACACUGGAACUGAGACACGGUCCAGACUCCUACGGGAGGCAGCAGUGGGGAAUAUUGGACAAUGGGCGAAAGCCUGAUCCAGCCAUGCCGCGUGUGUGAAGAAGGUCUUCGGAUUGUAAAGCACUUUAAGUUGGGAGGAAGGGUUGUAGAUUAAUACUCUGCAAUUUUGACGUUACCGACAGAAUAAGCACCGGCUAACUCUGUGCCAGCAGCCGCGGUAAUACAGAGGGUGCAAGCGUUAAUCGGAAUUACUGGGCGUAAAGCGCGCGUAGGUGGUUCGUUAAGUUGGAUGUGAAAUCCCCGGGCUCAACCUGGGAACUGCAUCCAAAACUGGCGAGCUAGAGUAUGGUAGAGGGUGGUGGAAUUUCCUGUGUAGCGGUGAAAUGCGUAGAUAUAGGAAGGAACACCAGUGGCGAAGGCGACCACCUGGACUGAUACUGACACUGAGGUGCGAAAGCGUGGGGAGCAAAC
rnacentral:rRNA from 1 species